UACGUAGGUGACAAGCGUUGUCCGGAUUUACUGGGCGUAAAGAGCGCGCAGGCGGUCGAUCAAGUCGAGUGUGAAAGCCCCCGGCUCAACUGGGGAGGGUCAUUCGAUACUGAUCGACUCGAAGGCAGGAGAGGGUAGUGGAAUUCCCGGUGUAGUGGUGAAAUGCGUAGAUAUCAGGGGGAACACCAAUGGCGAAGGCAGCUCGCUGGGACGGUACUGACGCUGAGACGCGAAAGCGUGGGGAGCAAACAGGG
rnacentral:rRNA from 1 species